AGGCCGAGCUGAGGGUGGGGGGUGGAGAGCUGGGAGUUGUCAGCGGAGAGCGUGGGGUUCGCUGUUUUGGCCGGAUGCGGAGCUGGCAACUCCGGCUGACUUAAGCUGGCGGGCAAAGGGCAAUCUCUGAGCUCCCGGCGCUCCAGGAGCAGCCUCUUUUGUAGAAGCAUCUGAAAUGCAGGGUCUGGUGCACUAAGCAAUAGCGACAACACCAGCUCCAGCGACAGCUCUGGGGCCCUGUGUAGGAGCUCCAUCCCCUUGUCUUUGUGUCCGCCUGCGUCCCCAGACCCAGAGGUUAUCUUGGAAGAUCUAGGACUCCGAAAAUGUUUCCCUUGAAGGAUGCCGAAAUGGGUGCCUUUACCUUCUUUGCCUCUGCUCUGCCACAUGAUGUUUGUGGAAGCAACGGGCUUCCUCUCACACCAAAUUCCAUCAAAAUUUUAGGGCGCUUUCAAAUCCUUAAGACCAUCACCCACCCCAGACUGUGCCAGUAUGUGGAUAUUUCUCGGGGAAAGCAUGAGAGACUGGUGGUGGUGGCUGAACACUGUGAACAGAGUCUAGAAGACUUGCUUCGAGAAGGGAAACCUGUGAGAUAUUCAAAGGUUUUGUGCAUAGCAUUUGAGAUACUUCAGGGCUUGCAGUAUAUGAACAAACAUGGUAUAGUACACCGGGCACUGUCUCCUCAUAAUAUCCUUUUGGAUCAAAAGGGACAUGUUAAAUUGGCUAAAUUUGGACUUUAUCACAUGACAGCAUAUGGUGAUGAUGUUGAUUUCCCAAUUGGGUAUCCAUCAUACUUGGCACCUGAGGUAAUUGCACAAGGAAUUUUCAAAACCAAUGAUCAUGUGCCAAGUGAGAAACCAUUGCCUUCUGGCCCCAAAUCAGAUGUGUGGUCUCUUGGAAUCAUUUUAUUUGAGCUUUGUGUGGGAAGAAAACUAUUUCAGAGUUUGGAUAUUUCUGAAAGACUAAAAUUUUUGCUUACACUGGACUGCAUAGAUGACACUAUAGUAGUUCUGGCUGAAGAGCAUGGUUGUCUGGACAUUAUAAAGGAGCUUCCUGAAAAUGUGAUAGAUCUUUUGAAGAAGUGCCUCACCUUCCACCCUUCUAAAAGGCCAACCCCAGAUGAAUUAAUGCAGGACAAUGUGUUCAGUGAAGUGUCACCUUUAUACACUCCCUUUACCAAACCUACCAGCCUGUUUUCUUCUUCUCUGAGAUGUGCUGAUUUAACUCUGCCUGAGGAUAUCAGUCAGCUGUGUAAAGAUAUAAGCAGUGAUUACCUGGCAGAAAGAUCUAUUGAAGAAGUGUAUUACCUUUGGUGUUUAGCUGGAGGUGACUUGGAAAAAGAGCUUGUGAACAAGGAAAUCAUUCGAUCCAAACCACCUAUCUGCACACUCCCCAAUUUUCUCUUUGAAGAUGGUGAAAGCUUUGGACAAGGUCGAGAUAGAAGCUCACUAUUAGAUGACACCACUGUGACAUUGUCAUUAUGCCAGCUAAGAAAUAGAUUAAAAGAUGUUGAUGGAGAAGCAUUUUACCCACUACUUGAAGAUGAUCAGUCUAAUUUACCUCAUUCAAACAGCAAUAAUGAGCUGUCUGCAGCUGCCACUCUCCCUUUAAUCAUCCGAGAGAGGGACACAGAGUACCAACUAAACAGAAUCAUUCUCUUUGACAGGCUGCUAAAGGCUUAUCCAUAUAAAAAAAAUCAAAUCUGGAAAGAAGCAAGAGUCGACAUUCCUCCUCUUAUGAGAGGUUUCACCUGGGCUGCUCUUCUGGGAGUUGAGGGGGCUAUUCAUGCCAAGUAUGAUGCAAUUGAUAAAGAUACUCCAAUUCCUACAGAUAGACAAAUUGAAGUGGAUAUUCCUCGUUGUCAUCAGUAUGAUGAACUGCUGUCAUCACCAGAAGGUCAUGCAAAAUUUAGGCGUGUAUUAAAAGCCUGGGUCGUGUCUCAUCCUGAUCUUGUGUAUUGGCAAGGUCUUGACUCACUUUGUGCUCCAUUUCUGUAUUUAAAUUUCAAUAAUGAAGCCUUGGCUUAUGCCUGUAUGUCUGCUUUUAUCCCCAAAUACCUGUAUAACUUCUUCUUGAAAGACAACUCGCAUGUAAUACAAGAGUAUCUGACUGUAUUCUCUCAGAUGAUUGCAUUCCAUGAUCCAGAGCUAAGCAAUCAUCUCAAUGAAAUUGGAUUUAUUCCAGAUCUCUAUGCCAUCCCUUGGUUUCUCACCAUGUUUACUCAUGUAUUUCCACUGCACAAAAUUUUCCACCUCUGGGAUACCUUAUUGCUUGGGAAUUCCUCCUUCCCAUUCUGUAUCGGAGUAGCAAUUCUUCAGCAGCUGCGUGACCGGCUUUUGUCUAAUGGCUUUAAUGAGUGCAUUCUUCUCUUCUCUGAUUUACCAGAAAUUGACAUUGAACGUUGUGUGCGAGAAUCAAUCAACCUGUUUUGUUGGACUCCUAAAAGUGCUACUUACAGACAGCAUGCUCAACCUCCAAAGCCAACUUCUGAUAGCAGUGGAGUCAGAAGUUCAACACCUUAUUUCUCCACUGAGUGUCCAGAUCCUCCAAAAACAGAUCUGUCAAGAGAAUCCAUUCCAUUAAAUGACCUAAAGUCAGAAGUAUCACCCCGGAUUUCAGCAGAGGACCUGAUUGACUUGUGUGAGCUUACAGUGACAGGCCACUUCAAAACACCCACCAAGAAGACAAAGUCCAGUAAGCCAAAGCUCCUGGUAGUUGACAUCCGGAAUAGUGAAGAUUUUAUUCGGGGUCACAUUUCAGGCAGCAUCAAUAUUCCAUUCAGCACUGCGUUUACUGCGGAAGGGGAGCUUACCCAAGGGCCUUACACUGCCAUGCUCCAGAGCUUCAAAGGGAAGGUCGUUGUCAUCGUGGGGAAUGUGGCAAAGCACACGGCAGAGUUUGCGGCUCAUCUUGUGAAGAUGAAAUAUCCAAGAAUCUGUAUUCUAGAUGGUGGCAUUAAUAAGCUCAAGCCAACAGGCCUCCUCACUGUCCCAUCCCCUCAAAUAUGAAGAACAGGAGUCUGGCUGUCAAAAGGACAGAGUGGCAUCACCCCCAGCAGCACAGCUCUUCACAGCCUUGCCACUCUAAGGCAGAACUAGACUUCCAGAUUGUUACAUUUCCAUUUCAAGUUUUGUCAUGAGACAUUUUAUUUUUAAUCUCAUGACCGAAAUGUUCAGCUAUCCAGGCAACAAACUUGACUGUACAUGUAUUCCUGAAAGAAUUUUCUUAACAAUGAAAUCCGAUCACGUAUUUUUACCACACCAACGCAAAGCCAGAAGAAUUCAACUGACGAGGCAGAUUUAGCAUUAUCAAGAAGUCUCAGUUACACUGAAAAGGCUGUCUUCCAUUGCACUGAACAGACAGUCCUAACAAAGGCACCAGGCUCGAAGAAUUGGAAAAAAGUCCUUGUAUCAGCCUCCCAGUCAAGUGUGGAAAGCCGAAGAGGGGGACUAACAAGGAGACAAGGUGGUUAGCUAGUUUCUAGGUCUAUUAAUCAUACAAGAGAAGAAACAGAGGUCAGUUAGGUCACUUGCUAACUUAAAAAAAAAUUACUUUUAUGCCUGAGAUAAACAAUCCUGAUAAUUUAUUACUUGUCAGAUAUCAUAUCUUUUCUAAAAUUAUCUUUAAGAUCAUUAAUAAUCCCAUGUACCUUGCAUUCAUCACUAUAGACUCCAUAUAGGGUCAUUAAGGACCUGAAAGGCAUGUGAGGAAUAUGACCACUGGAUUGAGGCCAAAUGACAUGGGGGGUAAUUUGCAUACUAAUGCACAACCAAGAAAGAGAAUCUUUUUUUUAAUGGGUAAUGAGGAUUAAAAACAAUCUCUGCACUCACAAAUCAUCGUUAAUUAUGUAUACAAGAUUACAGGAUAAAGAAUCUAAUGCAGUGCUCAGUGUGACCAUUUUAACUCCUUAUUGUGAGCCUGAUUCCUGUUUACAAAGGAGGUUCUUGUCCCAGAAGUGUUAUCCACCCCUGUCCAUCUGCCCUAACAUAACUGCUCUGCAGAGGACUUCCUGAGAUUUGCCUUGGCAUGAAGGCCCACCCUGAGCAACUAGUGGAAACAGGAAGAAUCCAUUUCCACUGAUCUAUCCAUUUACCUCGGUGUAGAAAAAAGGAGUUAUAAAAUAUUGAUUCAGAGCUAGGAGGUUAGUUUGAGUUAGGUACUUUCUUGAAUUAAUCUGAUAGAGGCUGAUCAGUGUUAAAAAGUUUUUCAACCCUUGGGCUUCCCUGGUGGCGCAGUGGUUAAGAAUCCGCCUGCCAAUGCAGAGGACACGGGUUCGAGCCCUGGUCCAGGAAGACCCCACAUGCCGUAGAGCAACUAAGCCCGCACACCACAACUACUGAGCCUGCGCUCUAGAGCCCGAGAGCCACAACUAUUGAAGCCCACGUGCCUAGAGCCCGUGCUCUGCAACAAGAGAAGCCACCGCAGUGAGAAGCCCGCGCACCGCAACGAAGAGUAGUCCCCGCUCGCCACAACUAGAGAAAGCCCGCGCGCAGCAACAAAGACCCGAUGCAGCCAAAAAUAAAUAUGUUAAAAAAAAAAAAGUUUUUCAACCCUACUUUGGGGCUACUACAACAAUGACCGUAUAGUCCCCCUAAAUUGUGGUUUAUCUAUGUUUAGUUUGUAACAAGAGUUUUUUUCAUAUCAACAUGCCUUAUUGUUGAUGUCAGGUAGUCUUGAUUUAUGCCAACAUUU